rnacentral:tmRNA from 1 species
GGGGGUGUAAAGGUUUCGACGGGGGUAAGAAGCAAAGGUUGCAUGCCGAGGUCCGGUUGGCUCGUUAAACAAACCGGGGCGAUUUAGACGCCGAUAACUACGAAUACGCCUUAGCAGCUUAAUAACCUGCUAACGUUCUACCUCGCUUCUCCCACGGGUGGGGAUAGAACGUCAUUUAGUGGGAUAGUUCUUGAGAGUGCCUGCGGCUCAAGGGCGAAAUCUAGCGGGACCGUCUCUCUUGAAUCCCGGCCUGUGGAGUCCUGAGAGGUUAAAUUAAAUACAGGUAUAAGCAUGUAGACGCCUUUCGUGUACGACUUUCGGACGUGGGUUCGACUCCCACCACCUCCACCA